rnacentral:rRNA from 2 species
GCGGGUCUAUACAUGCAGUCGAGCGAAUCGAUGGGAGCUUGCUCCCUGAGAUUAGCGGCGGACGGGUGAGUAACACGUGGGCAACCUGCCUAUAAGACUGGGAUAACUUCGGGAAACCGGAGCUAAUACCGGAUACGUUCUUUUCUCGCAUGAGAGAAGAUGGAAAGACGGUUUACGCUGUCACUUAUAGAUGGGCCCGCGGCGCAUUAGCUAGUUGGUGAGGUAAUGGCUCACCAAGGCGACGAUGCGUAGCCGACCUGAGAGGGUGAUCGGCCACACUGGGACUGAGACACGGCCCAGACUCCUACGGGAGGCAGCAGUAGGGAAUCUUCCGCAAUGGACGAAAGUCUGACGGAGCAACGCCGCGUGAACGAAGAAGGCCUUCGGGUCGUAAAGUUCUGUUGUUAGGGAAGAACAAGUACCAGAGUAACUGCUGGUACCUUGACGGUACCUAACCAGAAAGCCACGGCUAACUACGUGCCAGCAGCCGCGGUAAUACGUAGGUGGCAAGCGUUGUCCGGAAUUAUUGGGCGUAAGCGCGCGCAGGUGGUUCCUUAAGUCUGAUGUGAAAGCCCACGGCUCAACCGUGGAGGGUCAUUGGAAACUGGGGAACUUGAGUGCAGAAGAGGAAAGUGGAAUUCCAAGUGUAGCGGUGAAAUGCGUAGAGAUUUGGAGGAACACCAGUGGCGAAGGCGACUUUCUGGUCUGUAACUGACACUGAGGCGCGAAAGCGUGGGGAGCAAACAGGAUUAGAUACCCUGGUAGUCCACGCCGUAAACGAUGAGUGCUAAGUGUUAGAGGGUUUCCGCCCUUUAGUGCUGCAGCUAACGCAUUAAGCACUCCGCCUGGGGAGUACGGCCGCAAGGCUGAAACUCAAAGGAAUUGACGGGGGCCCGCACAAGCGGUGGAGCAUGUGGUUUAAUUCGAAGCAACGCGAAGAACCUUACCAGGUCUUGACAUCCUCUGACAACCCUAGAGAUAGGGCUUUCCCCUUCGGGGGACAGAGUGACAGGUGGUGCAUGGUUGUCGUCAGCUCGUGUCGUGAGAUGUUGGGUUAAGUCCCGCAACGAGCGCAACCCUUGAUCUUAGUUGCCAGCAUUCAGUUGGGCACUCUAAGGUGACUGCCGGUGACAAACCGGAGGAAGGUGGGGAUGACGUCAAAUCAUCAUGCCCCUUAUGACCUGGGCUACACACGUGCUACAAUGGAUGGUACAAAGGGCUGCAAACCUGCGAAGGUAAGCGAAUCCCAUAAAGCCAUUCUCAGUUCGGAUUGCAGGCUGCAACUCGCCUGCAUGAAGCCGGAAUCGCUAGUAAUCGCGGAUCAGCAUG